GAAGGAAGGAAGGAAAGAAAAAAAAGAAAAAGAAAGACUCAAUAAACUUUCCUUAAGAUUUCCUGGAUUUUUCCCAGUAACUGAUGGUUAUCAAUAUUUUCCCCCCAGAAUGCAGGGAAAGUUAAGCCACAUAAGGACAUCAUUUGCCUCAUGAUGCCUUGUUAGAGUACACUGUGAUAGGGGAAAAACAUUAAAAAAAAAUCCAGUGUUGUGCACAAAUUUCCUUCAUUUGACCACCACAUUGUUAAAUUUUCAAACGACAUUUAUUUUGCUUUGUCUGAAUUCAGCAGACAAAAGUGGAGUGACAUUUUAGGUUCAGCUUUAUAAAUCCUGUGAGUUAUCUGGGAGAAGGAAAUCUGAAAUAUUUCCUUCUCUUAUAUUCUGAGUCCAUAUUUGCUCCUUCCAUCCAAAGUCAUAUUUGGUUAUGAUGGUUCCAAGACCAUUAUUCUUUACUGCCAAUUUAAAAUGUUUCCUAAUAUUUAUUUCUUUGAUUGCUACUUUUAAUUACCCACCAUAAUUUUCUCACAGAUUUAUUUCUUGAUAUUUUUCAAGCGGUUUUUGCAUUUUGAAAGUUUAUCUCUGCAUUGUUUUAAAGUAAAAAAAAAAGUUAAUUUUGAAACUUCUGAUGGAAAAAUAUAUGGUUGAAAACAAAACCAGAUGUUGCCUGCUUUAACAGCACUGAAUUCAGCUUGAUUUCUAAUGUUAGAAAGACUCUUUGAGAAUAUGCCAACAGAUGAAUUUGUAUCGGCAUAAAGUACAAAUACCUACUCAACAUGUUAUUGUCUUGUGGGAUAAAAAAAUAUUAUACAAAGCAAAAGAGUAGAAAGCAAGGAAAAGUACAAGAUAAGCCCAUAGUAAUCUAAUUCAUUGUAAUUUAUGAUAAUACAUUUACCAUAGGUCUCCAUACUUUUCAUGCAAACCAUACAUGAAUCCAUCAAAUCCAUAUAUACAUUCAUACAUUUCCUUUCAUUCUGUAAAGAUCUCAUAUUCUCUUUCUGAAAAAAGCCUGAUUCAGUCUUAAUUUACUCUCUGUGUAACCAAACCACAUCCAUCCUUCAUCCUGGAUCUCAUUUGUGGAUUCAAUCUGCAUUAAUUCAAACUCUAUUAAUUCUUCACCCCAUCUCUUCUUCCCUCUUAAAUAUCCCACCGCCACAGCAUUCAAUUUAUUGUUUAGUAAUUCCUCCCUCCAUAUUCAGCUCUAACAACAUGGGCAGAAGCGUAUUCUUAAGCAUGCAGAUGUUGGUUUCUUUUGACAAUCAUUCCUGACAAGAGACCACACACAAUCUGCUACCUUUCUGCCGGCAUUUGCACACUUUAAAAUUGUCUAUCCAUUUUUCCAUCUAUCAAAGUGGAAUAAUAUAAUUUCAGUUUUAAUUUUUUGGUUGAAGAAUAUUUGUCAGCCAAUGCUGAAGAAAAAAUCUCUUAUGGGCACACAGGGAUUCAUGACUGAUGGUGUGUUUGACUCCUCCCUCAGGCUCAGCCUAGUCAUCCUACAAUAAUAACCUUGUAAUGGAAUUUCAUUGGAGUUUAUGGAAUUUCAUUGUUAGAAUUCUUUGCAAUGUGAGUUUUGAAAUGUUCAAUUUACUAGAUGUAUGGUACAUUGGUUUUGGGAAUCUCUGUUCAAAUACCCUCUCAAUUUCUAUUUGCUUGCUCAGCAUCUCUUAGAUCUAUGCUCAUCAUGAAAUGAGACAGUUUCCCUGAACGUUUUUCAUCCAGCUGUUAAUUAAAUUUCUGCUGUGA